rnacentral:rRNA from 1 species
AACGCUGGCGGCAGGCUUAACACAUGCAAGUCGAGCGGAGCGAGGGUGCUUGCACCUUAGCUUAGCGGCGGACGGGUGAGUAAUGCUUAGGAAUCUGCCUAUUAGUGGGGGACAACAUUCCGAAAGGAAUGCUAAUACCGCAUACGCCCUACGGGGGAAAGCAGGGGAUCUUCGGACCUUGCGCUAAUAGAUGAGCCUAAGUCGGAUUAGCUAGUUGGUGGGGUAAAGGCCUACCAAGGCGACGAUCUGUAGCGGGUCUGAGAGGAUGAUCCGCCACACUGGGACUGAGACACGGCCCAGACUCCUACGGGAGGCAGCAGUGGGGAAUAUUGGACAAUGGGCGGAAGCCUGAUCCAGCCAUGCCGCGUGUGUGAAGAAGGCCUUUUGGUUGUAAAGCACUUUAAGCGAGGAGGAGGCUCUUAAGGUUAAUACCCUUGAUG